rnacentral:rRNA from 1 species
UCUAGCCAUGGGCAGGUUGAAGGUUGGGUAACACUAACUGGAGGACCGAACCGACUAAUGUUGAAAAAUUAGCGGAUGACUUGUGGCUGGGGGUGAAAGGCCAAUCAAACCGGGAGAUAGCUGGUUCUCCCCGAAAGCUAUUUAGGUAGCGCCUCGUGAAUUCAUCUCCGGGGGUAGAGCACUGUUUCGGCAAGGGGGUCAUCCCGACUUACCAACCCGAUGCAAACUGCGAAUACCGGAGAAUGUUAUCACGGGAGACACACGGCGGGUGCUAACGUCCGUCGUGAAGAGGGAAACAACCCAGACCGCCAGCUAAGGUCCCAAAGUCAUGGUUAAGUGGGAAACGAUGUGGGAAGGCCCAGACAGCCAGGAUGUUGGCUUAGAAGCAGCCAUCAUUUAAAGAAAGCGUAAUAGCUCACUGGUCGAGUCGGCCUGCGCGGAAGAUGUAACGGGGCUAAACCAUGCACCGAAGCUGCGGCAGCGACGCUUAUGCGUUGUUGGGUAGGGGAGCGUUCUGUAAGCCUGCGAAGGUGUGCUGUGAGGCAUGCUGGAGGUAUCAGAAGUGCGAAUGCUGACAUAAGUAACGAUAAAGCGGGUGAAAAGCCCGCUCGCCGGAAGACCAAGGGUUCCUGUCCAACGUUAAUCGGGGCAGGGUGAGUCGACCCCUAAGGCGAGGCCGAAAGGCGUAGUCGAUGGGAAACAGGUUAAUAUUCCUGUACUUGGUGUUACUGCGAAGGGGGGACGGAGAAGGCUAUGUUGGCCGGGCGACGGUUGUCCCGGUUUAAGCGUGUAGGCUGGUUUUCCAGGCAAAUCCGGAAAAUCAAGGCUGAGGCGUGAUGACGAGGCACUACGGUGCUGAAGCAACAAAUGCCCUGCUUCCAGGAAAAGCCUCUAAGCAUCAGGUAACAUCAAAUCGUACCCCAAACCGACACAGGUGGUCAGGUAGAGAAUACCAAGGCGCUUGAGAGAACUCGGGUGAAGGAACUAGGCAAAAUGGUGCCGUAACUUCGGGAGAA